rnacentral:misc_RNA from 1 species
AUGAAAUGAAAGUUUUUUUGGGGUUUUCCCUGAAAAAUAAUUCACCAUUUGUGCAUUGUUAUUAGAUAUACUUUGGUUAGAGCUUUGAUUUCAUUAUUGGAAUCAACUUCUUGCUGACUCUAUCCUAUUGAAUGGGACAGUUGGCUAUGAAGCGGCCCUACCAAGGUUUUUUUAUCAAACUCUUGUAUUUUGUCUGACCUAAAAUAUCAAUAAUUAAAUCAU